rnacentral:rRNA from 1 species
GACGUAGGGCGCGAGCGUUGUCCGGAUUUAUUGGGCGUAAAGAGCUCGUAGGCGGCUUGUCGCGUCGAAUGUGAAAACUCGGGGCUCAACUCCGAGCUUGCAUUCGAUACGGGCAGGCUAGAGUUAGGUAGGGGAGACUGGAAUUCCUGGUGUAGCGGUGAAAUGCGCAGAUAUCAGGAGGAACACCGAUGGCGAAGGCAGGUCUCUGGGCCGAUACUGACGCUGAGACGCGAAAGCGUGGGGAGCGAACAGG